rnacentral:lncRNA from 1 species
GCACUCUGGUCUUUUGAGAAACAUUACCUAAAAAAAUAGAAAAAAGUGCUUAGAAUUCUGCACAUGAAAGCAAGAGUAGGCAAAGAGUCCAAAAAAUAAUAGUUUCUGUGUGCCAGGUAUUCUACCCAAUAUGAUAGGUGUCUUCUGCUUACUUCUCCAGGUUCACCAUCCACCCUUUUCCAGCCUGCUCAGUUACCUAGGAGACUAACCCAAAUGGACCACAUCGUCCCCUCAGUCUUAUAUUCUUGCUGAAAUAACAGAAGAUGCCAAUCAUUUUGAUGAUCACUUCAGCAAUUAAUCUUCACACUAGAAGCAGAAAAAAAUUAGUCUUGUGCAGUUUGGAUUUAUCUACUCAAACCUUCAAUAAGGAAUAGGCAUCCACAUCUUCACACGUUACUUGCAGGGAAACUUCCCAUCAUUAUGGAAACAUUGAUCCUAAAUGAGCCUUGUUCUAAGUCAUACUAGAAAUCUAGAAAUUCUCCGGGGCAAUGGAGGAGAUUAGCCAAAGCCAG